AAAAUAGAGCUAUGUACCAGCCUUAGAAAAUGAAAAUCAGCCACCAGACAACAGUUUCAAGUUCCAUGUUCUUUCAUAUUUUCUCAAUAUAGAGGAAUUGAUAAUAAUGAGCAAAUACAUACUGUCAUGCAGAACACCCUGCACCCUUCGUAACCUCAAGUAAAAAAGAAGGAAAAGAAAGAACUAUCAGUAAUCAAAAUGUGCCCUCAAUUACAAUUUGUAUGCGGCCAAUUUAACAUGUGCCUUUUUUAUAUAUGAAAAAUGGCCAACCUGAACAUCCUAUUGUACGAUCUAUGUCAUGAAACAAAAUCUAAAACUUAAUUAGGCUUUUUUGUUGCAGUAUUAUCUUUCUAUAGUACAACCUAAUUUUACACAAAUUAGAUUGAGAUAUCUUACACUUACAAGACAGUGAGCCCUCAGUGUGUAGUAAUCAGGGAUAUAUCACACAAAGCAGGGAUCAAGGAUAUAUCACACAUCCCUCAGUGUAUACUUGCAUACAAAGCUGGAAUAUUUCAGUGUGGAAAGGGCCCUCAGCUAAUUUAUUUUCAUCAAGUGAUCUAGUAUCUAGCUCAAUAAUUUUCCUUAUAGCAUCACAGGGCAAAUUAGGUACAUCACCUCUUUUGAUCAAAAGGAACAUCACAAAUCAGUUAUCAGGGCACAAUUACAUGUCAGGGCAACCAUCAGUGCACACACCACAUAUGCAGUCGAGCUCUUUCUGUCAAAUGUAUAGUUCAGCUCUUUCACAAAGACAACUCCCACAUAUAUCACACAUCCCUCAGUGUGUAGUAACCCUCAACACAUAUGCAGUCAUCAG
rnacentral:lncRNA from 1 species